AUCUGCAUAUGGGACAUUUUCAUAAUAGCUCCCUUUAACGCUCACAAGCCUCAUAUAUGGAUUCAUCAUCUGCCUAUUAAAAAGAAGUAAUAUCAUUACGUAAUUU